GUGUCAGCAGCCGCGGUAAUACGUAAGGAGCGAGCGUUGUCCGGAUUUACUGGGCGUAAAGAGCGCGAAGGCGGUCUUGCAAGUCGGGCGUGAAAUCUCCCGGCUCAACUGGGAGGGGUCGUUCGAUACUGCAGGACUUGAGGACGGGAGAGGGGAGUGGAAUUCCCGGUGUAGCGGUGGAAUGCGCAGAGAUCGGGAGGAACACCAGUGGCGAAGGCGGCUCCCUGGCCCGGUCCUGACGCUCAAGCGCGAAAGCGUGGGGAGCGAACGGGAUUAGAUACCCCGGUAGUCCACGCCGUAAACGAUGGGUGCUAGGUGUUGGUGGUGUCGAUCCCAUCAGUGCCGAAGCUAACGCGAUAAGCACCCCGCCUGGGGACUACGGCCGCAAGGCUAAAACUCAAAGGAAUUGACGGGG
rnacentral:rRNA from 1 species